AUUGAACGCUGGCGGCAGGCCUAACACAUGCAAGUCGAGCGAUCGGCGGACGGGUGAGUAAUGUAUGGGGACUGCCCGAUAGAGGGGGAUAACUACUGGAAACGGUGGCUAAUACCGCAUACUAUCGGAUAACCCAUAUGGGAUUAGCUAGUAGGUGGGGUAAAGGCUCACCUAGGCGACGAUCUCUAGCUGGUUGGAAGGGAUGAUGAGCCACACUGGGACGUGGAAACGGCCAGAACUCCUACGGAGGAAGCAGAGGGGAAUAUUGCAAAGGGGGGGAAAGCCUGCUGAAGCAAUGCCGCGUGUAUGAAGAAGGCCUUAGGGUUGUAAAGUACUUUCAGCGGGGAGGCGUUACCCGCAGAAGAAGCAACGGCUAACUCCGUGCCAGCAGCCGCGGUAAUUC
rnacentral:rRNA from 1 species